GGUGGCUCAGUGGUAGAGCUCUUGCCUUGCAUGCAUAGGGCCCUGGGUUCAAUUCCUCAGCACCA
rnacentral:tRNA from 1 species